rnacentral:lncRNA from 1 species
GUCUGUAUAUUCCAGUGGAAAAAAAAUUGGCUUGCAUUUUCUAUCUGUAAAACCAUCGGGUUUUUUUGUACCGACAUUAAUGAAAUUACUGACAAGAGGAAUUUACCAAUGGACUGUUUCCGUCCGUAAAUCAGUCGGUAAAAUUCAUGCUGACGGAAUGGUAGAGUAAAUACCGAGAAAACAUUUUGUUGGUAAAACUGUUAAAUGCAGCAGUGUUAAGAAGCUUGUCAUCACUUGUGGUUUGCGGAUCUGCUGGUUAUAUUCAUACGUACACUCAUGCUUACAGUGCAACAAUCAGAGACGCCUCCCACGGCUCAUCAUUGAGCUCUGUACAGUUCCAAACUUAGUCGGUGAAAUCACACCUUGAAGAGCUUCAAAGCAUUUCAAGAGCAUAUUGUAUCUUUCAAUUCCAUGCUAAGUAAGAGGUGAUAAUGAGGAAGUAAGAAAGAUAAUUAUGACAAUACAUACAAAUAGAAAAUGAUAUAUAAAUCACAGAAAGUUUAUUUGAAGAAGUAACAAGAAGCUCCUGACUCGAGUUCUAGCAACCUCUCCUCGUCUACGUUUAGCAGAGGGAGAAUAUCGUACAGGACUAAAGGUAACACAACUGGAGGAGGUUAUGCAUACAAGAAAGCUAAGUGAUUAAUCAAUAGGUCUUUAAAACGGAACUGGUUUACCCUUAGGGUAAUCGACAUAAACCCUCCCCUUGUAGCGUUGAGCUGCCUCGUUGCUGUCGAUAACUUCUGUUGCAUAGUAAUAUGUGGGAUGAGCAUAGGGAACCUUCAUAACUGGUGGCCGCCUCUUGGCCCGGCCGAAGUGCUCAUCAAUGGCUGCAAAACCCUCCUGCCCAAUCUUAACAAGACGAUCUGCCUGACGUGCCAUGUUAACUACAAUUAAUCAACACACAAAGACAAGUAGCUGUUUAUAGGUUUUGUUGGUUUUCUUGCUUUGGCUAAUAUGUAGGAGGCCAAGCCAACCUUUAUAGAGAAAGGAAAGGUUUGGUUGACAACAGCUGUGGAAUGAAUAAUGGUAGACAGUACUCCUUUUUGUAAAUAAAAGCACCCAACAUUUGUGUACGAUAAAACUAACCAUUGCUGAGAGAAAAAUCAAUAGCUUUUCUUCAUCUUAUCACUACUGACGAUAAAAGCAUCACAAAAUGAAAAAAAAAAUAUAUCAUCAAAAGUUUAUUAAUAUCAUAUUUAAACACAAAAAAGUAAAACAUGUUAGAUUUGGAUGUUUUCAAUACUUAAUAAACUUUUUAUAUAAAACAAUUUUACUGGUUUUUUUGUCGUCCGAUCACCAUCGAUGACAAAACCAUCACCAAGAGUUUAUUAUUAUCGACUUUGGAUUGGAAUUGAAUGUUCUAAAUACUUAGUAAACUGAAAAAUAAGGGAUGCAAACACUGCUCAUUAACAACUGUUGUCAGCCAAUCAUUAGAGCCACUUUUAUGAAUUUGUGUUGGGCAUAAAUUAUAAUAUCUGAUCAUGUGAUUAAAGAAAACAAAAGCUUCCCUGCUUUUGGACUAAUGCUUUUUCUACCGGUCAGGAAUCAAGUCAGGUCCAAAAGCAGUAGCAGCAAAAACACUAAACCUUCGCAAAAGCCAAUUAUGAAAGAAGAUUCCUUCUGUUCUCUAAUCAGAAUAAUCUCAGUUUAAUUAUGUGACGAUAUUGCAGUUUCUAAUUAAUGGCAAUAAGCCCAAUCAGGAUAUUAUCUGACCUUGGUCUCGGCAUUGGAUAACCUGCACUUAACAUUUUUUUUGCUUCUUAAUCCCAGAGCCCUUUUUAACAGUUAUAUUAGGGGUUCGCUAGUAUUAUCUGACCUUGAUCUCGGCAUUGGAUAACCUCAAGCAAUGUUUGUUCUUCAUAUGUAAACAAAAGGGAAACUUAUCGAAUCCAAUUACAGGUGGAAAAAAAUUAAAAGGCAAUUUGUAGUAAAAACUCAAUGAUCUCUGAGCCAAGCCCCCGCAAGCUAUUCCAAGCUUAUUUUACAGAAUAUUAACUCACAAAAGAAUAGAAUUAUGUUCUUAAUUAGCACAUAUGGCAAACAAAUGGCCUUCAGUACAUUUGAAGUGGCUCGAAGGUUCUCUCUAGUGCGAAGGUCAAUUUUUGUAAAAUUGAUUCCUUCCAACUUGUUUCCUAGAAUCGAUGAGACUUAAAUUUGUUUGUGAAUCUAAUUCCUUAUAACUAAACUUUUCGUUUCCAAUUUAUUUUCAUAAUCUGUUUUUUUUUUUUUUUGCUUUAACUGAUCUUGAUUCUCUCCGAAACUUGAUAUCUUUAUUUCUUACUCUAGUUAACUUCAUGACAUAAUCAAUGUGACGCAACCUGACCACCUCAUCCUAACAAAAUUAAAAUCUAUUUACAUCUCAAAUCCGAAUAAACAAGUUGCUUGCAUUAAACCCCAAUAUUGAAGGAAUAAUAGAGAAUGGAAUUUUGGUCAAAAAGUUGCCUCAGAUUCUAUUCUUUGACAUAGACUAGGUAGCUAGAACUAGAUGUUGUUGUUGAUAAUUGCAGGGUUGUCAUGUGGUGGUUUGUUUUUAGGUGUUGAAGGUUGCUUUCUAAGCAGCCUAUGGUUGGUUCUAGCCAAUGGUAAAGACUGGUCUAGUUCUCCACCAUAUCAUUCAUUCUUUUCCAUUUUUUUGGCAAAUCAAACUAGGACUAAGAAGGGGAUGAUGUUUCAAGAUUCGUAGGAUUGGAAUGUCAAGUUAACCAAGCUAAAGAAAAAGACUAAGGUUCUAGUUAAAGAGGGGUAUCUAAAUUGAGGUUUUAGGUUAACCGAGUUGAAGGCAAUAUUUUGGUUCUUGUUAAAUGGGAUCGUAGGAUUGGGAUCUCAAGUUGACCGAGCUAAAGAAAAAGACUAAGGUUCAAGUUAAAGAGGGGUCUCUAAAUUGAGAUUUUAGGUUAACCGAGUUGAAGGCAACAUUUUGGUUUUGGUUAAAGGGAAUCGCUUGAUUAAAGGGAGUCACUAGAUUGAGAUUCUAGGUUAACCAAACUGAAAGAAACAUUUUGGUUCUAGUUAAAUAGGAUUGUCGGAUUGGGAUCUCAGGUUGAAUGAGCUAAAGACAAAGACCAAGGUUUUAGUUAAAGGGGGUCUCUAUAUUGAGAUUUUAGGUUAACCAAGCUUAAGGCAACAUUUGGGUUCUGGUUAAAACGAAUCAUCAGAUUGGGAUUUCAGGUUUGUCGAGCUGAAGACAAAGACCAAGGUUCUGGUUAAAGGGGGUCUCUAGAUUGAGAUUUCAGGUUAACCAAGCUGAAGGUGACAUUUUCGUUCUAAUUAAAGGGAAUAGCUAGAUUAGGAUCUCAAGUUGACUGAGCUAAAAACAAAGAUCAAGGUUCUGAUUAAAGGGGAUCUGUAGAUUGAGAUUUCAGGUUAACCAAGCUUAAGGUGACAUUUUGGUUUUGGUUAAAUGAAAUCACUAGAUUGGGAUCUCAGGUUGACCGAGCUAAGGAUAAAGACCAAGGUUUUGGUUAAAGGGGGUCUCUAGAUUGAGAUUUCAGAUUAACUAAGCUAAAGGCGACAUUUUGGUUCUUAUUAAAGAGAAUCGUCGUAUUGGGAUUUUAGGUUGACCAACUUAACGACAAAGACCAAGGUUCUGGUUAAAGUGAAUCGCCAGAUUGGAAUUUUAGGUUACCGAGCUACUUUUCAUAUUUUAGUUCUAGUUAAAGCGGAUCGCAAAAUUGGGAUCUCAGGUUGACCGAACUUUUGGCAUUGAUUUUGGUUUUGGAUUAAGAAAAUCACUAGAUUGCGAUUUCAAGAUAACCAAGUUGUACACAGUUUGAUUGUAGUUUCCGUUGAUGGGGAUUGCUAUGAAAACAAAGUUUCAGGUCAACCAAACUAAAAGCUUUGAGAAAAACAGUCAAGCACUUAACAAGUCUUUGUUCCAUAAGUAUUAUGAAGAAGGAGCAACUAUUGCCAUAAGAGUGGUAAGUUGUAAACCGUGAGUAUAAUCGGCCAACAAGAAUAAGGAUCAACAAAUGACCUGAAUGGGUUGAAUCCAUCUGUACAUAACCCAAGAUGCACGUUCCUUGAUUCAGCUGAAAAAUAAGAAUGCACACUGUUAAAGUGUUUCCAUGCUUCACCGUCAGAAGGAUGCACCAUCACUCCAUCCACCGCAUCAAGUGAUUGGUGCUAUAUCAUGUGCUCAGUAGUCUUUGGUGAUAUGAAUAACCUCUACAGUCUAGGUGUGAUUGGGAAGUAUCUAAGUUUUUUAUAUGCCAUAAGAGUCUUUCUCAUGCCAGUUCUGGGUUUGUAACGGGAAUGCUCUCAUGUCAUGCACACGGUUAGCUCAGCAUUUUCAAGGUAGUACAUCAUGCAAAAGUUUGGACACAUGUCAAUUUUCUAGUAUUCUAAACCGAGGGGUUUAAUCAUGGACUUAGUAGCAUAGAAGUUCUCUUUCAGCCUCUUCCCUUCAAGUAGAAUGCUUCUCGCCCAUUCAAUAAUUUUAUCGGCAAUUCUGUUGGUUGAAUUUCAGGUAGUGAUGCCUCAGAUUCCUCAGGACUUUCCAUGCAUGAUAGACCAUUUUCUUUCAGGGAUACCCUAAAGAGGACUUAAAGAUUUCAGUUGUAUAUGUGUGAUAACAGAGCAGAAAAAGAAAACUCUCUCGGAUAGGACCCAAUUUGUGGCAGUUUCAUGUCAUCAAAAGUUCACCGAAAGGCGAUGCUUGCAAUCGUUAUGUUUCAGAAGCAAUAAUAUUCUUGUUUAUCCUUCUAGGCUAAGAUGAAAUAUGGAGGAAGUUAAAGCACAUCUCAUGUUUUUGAUGGGUCCCAUUUAUAAUGAAGGAUUGGGAAAGAUCAAGAAAAGGUAUAACUCGGAGCAUUUCCCAUUUUUCCCUUUUUUCUGUAAAAGAUAUGUGUAAAGCAAUGCUUCAGAGGGAGGCUUACUAAUAUCAUUUUCAUGGGAGAUAAGAUAUUUUUACUAGAUACACUUGCUCACAUGGCUCGGAUUGGGAAUCAUGUUUUUCCUUAAAUCUUCAUCGACUAUCAGCUUAGUUAAAGAGAUGUGAAGGAAAUUUUGGUUGUAGAACUCAGAAAUGAUCCAAUCAUGGUCAUGAUCGCUGAUAUUCUUAGAUAUCAUGUAAAUUUCUACUGUUUUUUUUUCUAAGCUAUUGUUUUACCUUGAACUCCGUUUAUUAUUUCUUUAUCGGAGACGCUUCCCAUGGCUCAUCAUUUUAUCCUUGUGCUCGGGACAAUUCUAAAAUGAGGUGAUAAUUCUAAACUCGAAAUUAUUCAGUGAAAUCACACCUUGAAGAGCUUCAAAGCAUUUGAACAGCAAAUUAAUUAUUUGUUUGCCCUAAACGGACUACUAACAGAUAUGUUCAUGUACUAGUGAAAGAUGUUUAGGCCAAGAGAAAGCAUGAUCACGCAAGACCAGAAUAAUAGCCUAAAAUAAUGAUAACAGGAGAUAUUCUAACCGUUAAAUCAGGCUCAAAUUUUUAUAGAAGAUUCUACAAACUGUUUUCCCAUUAAAAACCACUCAAUAGUUAUCAGAGCAUUGUAUCUCCAUAAAGUAGGCUAAUUAGUUAUUAUUUGGGAUAAUUUUGUUAUUUUUCCUUAAUAUUCACAGAUUUAUUGUUUAUUUUUAAAUUUUAUGUUAUUUUCCGUUAUGUUUUGGGAUUCUGAUUUUGUUUCGAAUCUUGGCCGAUUUUUCUAGUCUAUGAAAGAGAUUGUAAACCUCUUUAGAAGGUAAACUUAAUCAAAUUAAUAUUUUAGAAAUAAGGUUUUAGGAUUCUCAGUGUUUUAACAUUAUUUCAGUUUAUCUUUUGUCUUUCUAUGCUUGCAGCUAUAUUGUUGUGCUUCCGCUUGCAUUAAACUUUCAAAACCACUAAGUCAGUUAUCGAAGCAUUGGAUCUCCUAUAAAAGGGAUUGUAAAUUAACCUCUUUAGGAGGUAGACUUGAUCUUAGGAUUCUUCGUGUUUUCACCUUAUUUCAGUCCAUCUUUUUAUUUCCAUGCUUGCAGCUAUAUUGUUGUGCUUCCGACUGCAUUAAUCUUUCAAUAUUUCAUGCUAAGUAAUAGGUGAAUAAGGUAAUAAUCAGGGAAGCAGAGUGAUAUUUAUGACAAUGCAUACUUGACCAGCCAAAUAGAAAAUUAUGAUAUAUAAAUCACAGAAAUUUUAUUUGAUGAAGGAAGAAGAAGCUCCUGACUCGAGUUCUAGCAACCUCUCCUCGUCUACGUUUAGCAGAGGGAGAAUAUCGUACAGGACUAAAGGUAACACAACUAGAGGAGGUUAUGCAUACAAGAAAGCUAAGUGAUUAAUCACUAGGUCUUUAAAACGGAACUGGUUUCCCCUUGGGAUAAUCGAGAUAAACCCUCCCCUUGUAGCGUUGAGCUGCCUCGAUGCUGUCGAUAACUUCUGUUGCAGGAAUUUGGUUUGCAUAGUAAUAUGUCGGAUGAGCAUUGGGAACCUUCAGCACUGGUGGCCGCCUCUUGGCCCGGCCGAAGUGCUCAUCUAUGGCUGCAAAGCCCUCCAGCCCAAUCUUAGCAAGACGGUCUGCCUGACGUGUCAUGUUAACUACAAUUUGUCAGUCAAUACACAAGACAAGUAGCUGUAUAUAGUUCGAGCUGGUUUGCUUGCUUGGCUAAUAUGUGUGAGGCCAAGCCAACCUUUAUAUAGAUCGGGAAG